rnacentral:lncRNA from 1 species
AAGGGCUCAGUAUGUCUGUCAGCAGCAAGAGAGAAUCGCCCUGGACACUGAGGUACCACGUCCCCGCACGAAUCUCUGGUCGGCCGGUGCGUCACUCAGGAUCCACAACGAUGACGGUUCAAACAAGAUCAAAGUCUCUUUCUCAGGAAAAUGUCAGAGAGGCCCAGUCUCUUUUGUAGUGAUCCAGGGAAGCCUCAAGAAACAUCCUGUUCCUCUACAGUGACCUCGCUCCAGUCUUCAGGCCUGCAUCUGGUAUUCAUGGAGAUCUUAAGAAGGUGGAGGGGAGCAGGCCACUUUCCAAAUACAACUCAACCCCCUGUGCCUCCGUCACGGUCCCCAGGGAGCAGAACCUUCAUGAGUGAUCCAGAAGGAAGGGUACGCCACAGGGUGGGACCUCCUGCAGGGUGCGCGGUGGUGGGGCUAUCUGUGCAGGUUGUCUCCUCGGCUUCUAUGUCUAUGUGUCACCCCCCCAACCUCGAUGCCACAGUGACCUGCAGGAGGACUCAGAAGCUGGAGGAGACCUGAGGGGAGCUGCAGGGUCUGCCAGUCCGAGCUCUGCGCCCCUCGCCCACGAGAUGAACAGCAGGUCAGCAACAACCUGAGUGGGCCGCCUCUCUGCUUGGCGCCCUGCACAGACCUUCAGGGCGUAAAACGAUGGUGGCUCCUUCACUUGUGCCUUUGAAAUCCUGAGCAAAAUGGCGCACGUGGCCAGUGUCAACCCAGAACCAUGCAGGAAAGGAAUUCUAGGACAUGCAGCUCCAGCUUAGCCAGGUUGACACAGUUCAAGGCCCUGCAGCUGGUGAAAACCAUGAUUACAAGGAACGGUC